UACGGGGGGGGCAAGCGUUGUUCGGAAUUACUGGGCGUAAAGGGCUCGUAGGCGGCCAACUAAGUCAGACGUGAAAUCCCUCGGCUUAACCGGGGAACUGCGUCUGAGACUGGAUGGCUUGAGUUUGGGAGAGGGAUGCGGAAUUCCAGGUGUAGCGGUGAAAUGCGUAGAUAUCUGGAGGAACACCGGUGGCGAAGGCGGCAUCCUGGACCAACACUGACGCUGAGUGAGCGAAAGCCAGGGGAGCAAACGGG
rnacentral:rRNA from 1 species